rnacentral:rRNA from 1 species
UACGUAGGGCGCAAGCGUUAUCCGGAAUUAUUGGGCGUAAAGAGCUCGUAGGCGGUUUGUCGCGUCUGCUGUGAAAACUCGAGGCUCAACCUCGGGCUUGCAGUGGGUACGGGCAGCCUAGAGUGCGGUAGGGGAGACUGGAAUUCCUGGUGUAGCGGUGGAAUGCGCAGAUAUCAGGAGGAACACCGAUGGCGAAGGCAGGUCUCUGGGCCGCAACUGACGCUGAGGAGCGAAAGCAUGGGGAGCGAACAGG